AGCCAGAGGGGGCACAAGGCAGCAUUAACAGAAGCAUGGUUAAAAUGUCCUUGAGAAGGUAUAUUGCACAGUACUGUGUGUGGGAAUGCUAAGAAACGUUUGGUCUUGUAUUUUCAAUGAACUGAGUUUUACUUUUUUUUGUCUCUUGGUGACUUUACAAGGAGGCCUUCUACAGCUUACAGGCUCUGCCCCUUUGUUUUUUGGAACCUCACACAGGGGAGAGUGGAUCCCAGAUGCCAGUUGGGGCACGUUCUAAGUUCACUCUUGCACCAAGGAAACAGUGGGCAGCUUGGAGGGGAGCUGCCAAAUUCAUUCUGCAGUUCCCAGAUGAGCUCUCACCAGACUAGGUUUCUGGCCACCUGUGUUAGGCUCUUCUUCCAGCUGAACUGGACAACCUGAGAGACAGCUCCCUGGGGCUUUGGAACCUGUGCUUUCCAUUCUGGCAAGGGGACAAAGAUAAAGGACAGGUUACUCCUUUGCCACAGAACAAAUGUUUAUUUUUCACCAGUAGCACAAGGUGUAUUUUCCUGGGAUUCCCUUGAGUGUUCCUUGCUUAUGGCCAGUUGAAGAGACAUUCACGAGUCUGCCUGUUGCGGUAGGUCAUGGCUACUUUUCCAUCCUCCUGGGGUAGGGGUAGGCUUUCACUCAGGGGCACCGUAGUUCAUGUCCAGUGGGUUUUGUUCCUUUUAUUUUUUUUUUUGUCCUUCUCCACAUUCGCAUGAAAUUGUUCUUGCUUUCAUCUUUCUAGCCUGUUCCUUCCUCUCAGAUCCUCUGUCUUGGUUUAAAGGGUCCUUGUGCCAGCAGACUAAUGCACACCUGUGCAACCAAGGGACGAUUCACUCCCAGGGAAACAAUGGGCAUUCUCAUCAUCACCAGGGGCUUCCUGCAGUGGAAAAUAGCUCAAGGUUUCUAAGGCUCUCUUCUCCCACAACAAAAUAAGCCUGUAGGUAGAUGUAAAAUCAACACAUCUCUAUUUAUUUUGGCCUUGAGCCCACCAUAGCCAAUAUUGUCUUCUUUGGGAAGUGAAUUCCUUUGUAUGUAUUCCUCUGCUUCCCUGUGCUUGGAUGGUCUGCUUUGCAGGACCCUGUUUGCUUAGUGCAGUCCCAGGGUGAAAUUAGUAUUUUCCUUUUUAGCAAAGUAUUUUCUUCAUAUGAUACUGCUUUUUUGGCUGUGGUUGACAUUCAUCACACUUACAGUAAAAGACCUGCUUGGUAUUGGUACACACUUACUGCUUCCCCUUUGGGAAAUGGGCAUGGCAAUUCUUCUGUCUCUCCUAGGGGCAUUCUGAAGAAGCUAUGUUAAAUUAUCCUAGCCUCUGGUCUGUAGAAUUAGUAUAUGUGAUUACUGCCUGUCCUCCAGGUAGAUUUAUGUAGACAGGCAGAGUAGGAUGUAAGAUGGACCUUCUGAAAAUGGGACAACUCAUUGUUAACAAAUGCUCAGUGGUCUCUUUGACCUGAGAGCAGGGGCAGACCUUGUGCUUUCCUGGUUUACCAGGAACACCUGUACUGCCUGAGAGCAGGAAAAUAUCUCUUGGGGGAUCCUGAAGGGGUGGGAGGCAUACAUGCCAUGGGGGAAGAGUUUAGAUUCCAUCCAGUAUAUCCAUGCAGCAGUCACUUGUAAUCAUUGCUAAUCCAAUGAGAGCUGUAAGUAGUUAUGGACUCCUGCAUAGAUUUAUUGGUCUGAGGUGAUACUAACUGGCAGAGAUAAAGCAAGGGACAAUAUUUACCAGAAAUAAAUGUUGGCAUUUAUGGAAAACCCAGAGUGUGUGUUCACACCUAUUUUGAAUGUUUUUAUGAGAGAUACCUGAGAAGUCUCCAUUAUGGGUAUAUCUUCCAAUGCGGAAUAAGUUUUUCUCUUAAGCUAAUAUUCUAAAGGGAUAGAUUAAAUUAAAGGUUCAUUUAAAAACUAUUUCUUUUCCCUUGGAAGGUGAAUAAUAUUUUUCACUUACACUGCUGCAGUCCAUAAUAAUGUUUUUAUUUGUAUGUGUAAUUUGGUUAUCUGGUGCUACUUCAAGCUCAGUAUUAAUCAUGUCUGAUGACUAAAGAACAAUCUGAGCUCUGGCCCUUUACAUUAAAUUAUAAAUUAAACCCAUCAAAUAAAAUCUUGCCCCCAUUGAUGUUGACACUAAAAAUGUCAUGGAUGUCAUUGGGGCUGGGGUUUUACCCAAUACUUUUAUACUUUAACAUUCACCUAAGUGUUUGCAGAGGCCACAUUUUACUGGCCAUCUGUGUGCCAGAGGCUCCCCAUGUGUUUAGCCAGCAACUACUCCUUGGUCUUCUAAGUCUUGUUGCAAAAAUGCUAACCUGCUUUUCGUAUUCCAAGAGCAGAACAGGUUAAAGGAGAGAAAUCUGAGCUCUCCACACCGUUUGCAUGUGGUGGUUACUCAGGGUCAGUGUUUCCCUGCGCAGUCAGGCAAGCAUAGAUUUUUAUUUGCCCAGGUCUAUCUCACAGCAACAGAGAAAGACCUUAUAAUCAUGGGACAUUUAUCUGACACAAUAAAGCUGGGCAGCAAGGGAAACUGUCCAGUCUUUUAGAACUAAUAUAUAUGCAUGCAUUUAAGGAAUAGUAUAUUAUGUAGCUGAGACAAAAAUGUAUUGAAACAUAUCAGAAUUGUGAAGUGAAACAUUGGGCUAUGGAUAGAUGCUGUUUCCUGACUAAAUAAACAUCCUUUGUGGUUGGCUUGGGUUUAUUUUAUCUCUUUAUUUUUCAGUCUCACUAUUCAGUAGGUUUUGGGUUCCUUGGACUCUGCAGAGGAUCAGUUGUUUUCUCCCUGUGGCAUUCUCAGCAGAGCAUCUUCAUCCUUUGCCUAUUCACAGCUGACUGGGUGUACUGAAGUGUUCUUAUUCUUUUUGUUUCUUAAAAAACUUAGUUGUAGAGAGAAAAAUAAAAAAAGAGGGUCAACUAACUGGGCAGGCCCCUGUAGGGAACUCAAGGACCUUGCUUUUGUUGAGAUUGCGUGGAGCUUCAUGUUAAUAUUUUCCACUUGAUAAGUUAGCCAGACACAAGAGGUCAUGGUUAGUUUUUACUGAAAUGAUAAAAGUGUUUUGUUGGGGAUUAUUUAAUUGUUUUGUUGGGGAUUAUUUAAUUUUGUAUUUUGUUUGUUUUAAUACAGAACCAGAACCAAAUGACAGUGUCUGCACCCAGCUUUCUGCCAGCACUAACACAAAAUGAUAAAAUGGCCUUUUUGUUUGUUUGUGUUUUGGUGCUUUUUUUUUUUUUUUUUUGUCCUGGGCAUAAAUUCCCAUUUCUUGUUUCCUUUUUUUCUAUAUUCUCUGCUUUCCUGGAGUAUUGCCACUCUGCUGCAGACACAAGGCCAUAACCAGAUGAGCUUUCCCCUUUGCACCUGCAUUUACUUGCCUGCAUUUAGGAUGGAAGCAGUGAAGAGACCUUCACAAGGCCUGUGAGUGUAGGACAGCAACUGCAUCCAAACGAGGCCUGCUUUUUUGUGAUAUUCAUUCUUCUAACUCUAUUUGAGAAUUUUAAGAUAGAAGCAUUGCUUGGAGAGUUUUCUAAGGGAUUCUGAUCAACUUAC